rnacentral:lncRNA from 1 species
GGAAGAUUGAAAUUGAAAUUAAUACCCUAAUGUAGAAGCAUGAUGAACUGCCUGUCGGAAGCAAAGGAAAUGAUGCUUCAUUUAGCCAUUCUUAAGAUCCAGCUUUUGAAACAAAGGUCAGCUUGGCUACUCAAACCACGUCUGAAACCCCACUGAAAAAAAUAAGCUGAAGACAAUAUCAGAUGACGUUUUUAAACUGCAAAAUACACAGGUAUUUUACGCAAAAUACACAAAUUCCAAAUUCUAACAAUAAAACACUGAAAUGAAGAAACA